rnacentral:rRNA from 1 species
UACGUAGGGAGCGAGCGUUGUUCGGAAUUACUGGGCGUAAAGAGUGUGUAGGCGGUCCUCUAAGUUCGGUGUGAAAUCUCCUGGCUCAACUGGGAGGGUGCGCCGGAAACUGGAGUGCUUGAGUGUGGGAGAGGAAAGCGGAAUUCCUGGUGUAGCGGUGAAAUGCGUAGAUAUCAGGAGGAACACCUGUGGUGUAGACGGCUUUCUGGACCAUAGCUGACGCUGAGACACGAAAGCGUGGGUAGCAAACAGG